UAGCCGUAAACGAUACUCGCUAGGUGUCGGCCACGGUGCGACCGUUGUCGGUGCCGUAGGGAAGCCGUGAAGCGAGCCACCUGGGAAGUACGGCCGCAAGGCUGAAACUUAAAGGAAUUGGCGGGGGAGCACAACAACGGGUGGAGCUUGCGGUUUAAUUGGAUUCAACGCCGGAAAUCUUACCGGGACCGACAGCAACAUGAAGGCCAAGCUGAAGACUUUGCCGGAUUAGCUGAGAGGUGGUGCAUGCGUAGUCGUGU
rnacentral:rRNA from 1 species